CAUUGUCAAGUUCUUAUAUUUUUUUCUUUUCUAGCAAUCUAAAAUAUAUGAUUUCCCACCUUCAGAUCAAGCUCUAGAUAGUAGAUAACUAGAUAUACAACUAAAGAGGAAAACAUAUUAUAAACAUCGAAAAGGCUAAAAGUAAAACAACAUAGAACAGAAAAAGGACAUGAAUCCAUCUAAACCCAUAUGAUAAUUCCUGCAUUUCUUUCAACCCACCAAAAAACAAAUAAUAGAAGGUACUGAAACUGAAAAAAUCAAAGAGAAACUCAAAGAACCAGAGGGUAGAGGUUGCAGAGAAUAACCAAUCGGAGUAGAUAAUAGAAGGCAAGCUGCAUAAAAGAAAAGAACAAAGAUCAAAGUUACUUGCAGGUGGGGCCCUUACCUGGUUGUCGCUCUUGCUGCCGGAGGAGAAGAUGUCGCAGGCGUUAUCGUAUUAUGGUUGUUGUCGUUCUUGCUGUCGGAGAAGGAGAAGAGAAGACGUCGGAGAAGAGAAGACGGUCUUGCUGCAGGAGAAGGAGAAGAAGAAGAAGUUGCAGGCAGUGGCUGUCGGAGAAGGAGGAGAGAAGACGUUGAGGGUUUUGGUCUCAACUCAGAGUUCGAGCUUUGAGGGUUUUGGUCUCUUCGGGCGUCGGGUGUUUCAAUUUUACGCUGCCAUAUAAUAAACAAAGUUGUUAGUAAAAAAAAAAAAAAAAACAAUUAAAAUAUAAUAAACAAAAUAUUGUUAGUAAAAAAAUAAAAAUAAAAAAAUAACACAAAGGCGACCGCCUAGGGAACAAAUCGUGACAUGGCGUCCAUGGCGGUCGCCUACCAUUCAAUGGCGGUCGCCAUUGUGUGAGACACAAAUCGUUGGACUACCAUGACCAAAUUUUACCGCCGAGACGCCAAAUUGCCACCUAGGCGACGCCUUGACAACUAUGACCUUGAGUGUGCACUAAGACACCUUUAUUAGGCCACAGCUGGUUUAUCGCAUCAAAAUACAGAUUACAAUAAUUAGACAAUGUUAAAUAAUUUUUUCCUGCUACUAAUCUUACAGGAUUUUUAUAUGGGAGCAUUGAUCAUAAGUGAUCAAGAGUAAGGAAACACAAGAUGGUGAUUAACCAAAUUAGAUAGAGAAAGGCAACUAGAUGUUAAGACUUAAGGACAUGAAUUUCUUAAUGGAUAAAAUAAUUUUUUUGUAAAGAGGGAAUGGUGGAGUCUGCUACAGCCCAAACUGGACAAGGCUCCUAGAGGAUACUCGAGGCAGACAAGUCACAUACAACCGCACUCACCAGGAGGCCCCCUGUUCCCAUUCUGGCCAACUUCUAUGCAAUAGAGUUAGAAGAUCUCAGCCUCCAAAAUAACAUAGGUUUUUAAACUACUGAGAGUUAGGGACCUGUUAUUUGUUCUGUUUCGGAUGGUAAAUUCUAUUGCAAUUGGGAAAGUGAAAUGGUGGUUAGUAUAAGCUGGGGUCAAUUACAAGAAUCCUAUUUAGUCAUACCAUCUAUUUUAAAGCCAUGGCAGUUUUUAACCAAAAGCAAAGUGUGGUUUUAUUCUCAACUUUGGGUGGUAAUAGCAGUAUCAACUCUUGGAGUAUGGACCAAGUGAAUCAUGAAUUAGUCGGCUGCAGUAAGUAAAUUAGAUGUGGUUAGUUGAUGACAUGAGUUUGUGUAUGAAUGCCCCUAAAAUACAAACAACUAUUUUGUGAGUUUACACUUUGGUGCGCUUGACCUUGUUUUUUAUUUAUAAUAUUUCUAAAAUUUCUAUGAAGAAAUUAUAUGAGUUUACACAUGAAUAGUUCUUGAACAACAGCUAGCCAAUUUGUCAAAAUAAAAAAUAAUUAUAUGUAGAUAAAUAGGUCAUUAUCAUUAAGUUUUUUGCAAUAGUGUUUAUUUUUUGGUUGGUGUGAAUAUGUUAGUUCCUGUGUAUUUGGGUGAGUUUUGCAUAUACUUUAUUGCUUUAAGUAAACAGCUCUUCUUUAUUUUUAUAUAAUUGCUGGUCGAAGAAUUUGUAAAGCAGCAGUCAAAAAAUGGUUAGUGAUUAUGGGUAGCAAUGAACCAUCUUCUAGGAUGGUGGGAAAUUCAUGAAUCACUUCUCCGAUCACUUCCUUCACUGAACUAACAGUAAAAUUCCCAGUCGUAAUCAUAGUCAUGUUCUUUCUUUGUUAUGUGAUUAUGGGUAGCAUUGUAGUUCUGGGUUUUUAUUAACUGAUCACUAUGGCUGCUAUGCUUCUUCCACCCCAUGUUAGACCGGUUGGCUAGAGAUGCAAUAGCUUGAGAUCAUUCUGCUCUAUGGUUACCUGAUUUGUGGGUAGUAAACUAAUUGUGUUCUGUAUCUAAUGGAGAAAGUUGAACAGCAAUCCUAUAUGGAUUGAAUAGCCAGACAGAUGUGUUUCAUGCUGUAUGGCCAUAUAUUCACUGCCAGAACUUAGUCUAGACCUUAAAUCACCCUGAUUCAUGUAGGGAAAUUUAAGGUUUGUUCUAGUCUUGUGAGGGGAGGGGUGUUAAGAGUAAAUCAAGAGAACUUAAACCAUGAAAUGUUCAGGCGCUGGCUCCUUCCAUGUAAAAGAAAAGGGAGGGAAGUGAAAAGGGUUGUAAACAGGGGGGGGGUGUUAAAUCUGCAAGCUAAUUAUGUUUCUAUUUCCUUCAUCAAUUUGCAUGAUGGUGGAGGUGGUACUUAAUCCAAUAUCUCAUAUAUGGACCAGUUAUGGUCAACAAUAAUGAUACUAAUGCGCCGCCUUAACCAUGGAGGACAAUUAUUAUUAUGUGUAGUAAAAACAGUCAGAGAUGCUUGCAGCCCAUGUAACAUGCUUGCAUAGCAUUAGUCCUUGAAAGCUAAAUCCAUGAGUAAGAGAUGGGUCAUGUGAGCUAGCGUUCAGCAAACUUUCUCUCUCUCACUUUAAGUUAUGCUGUUCAAAAGAAACUUUGAUCUUUCUCUCUCGCUCUCAAUUAUACUAUUCAAAAGAGAGAAACAGAGAGGGUGAUAUGUCAUCAAAUCACACAAUUUUCCAGUGUAAGGAAUAUUUGGAUUGAUACAGAAGAAUUUCAAGUUGACAUUUACCCCCUCUACUUAUUACAGCCUUAAUGCUGUCUAUUAGAUUGAAAGUCUCUGUGUUUCUGUUAUAUUUUGUUCUGAAUUUGUCUCCUACAUUGGCAUAGUCUGAUGCUUUACUAAACAAUGGUGAAGAUGUAGGCUUGUUUUUUGAGAAUUGCUUUGUUCCAGGACAUAAUGUUCAAGGGAAAAUGUAUUAGCAUUGCAGAGAUCUCUAGAUACCAACUUAUAAAGCAGAUCCAUAAAGAAUGCGUAAUAGAAACAAUUAGAAGUUCACCAUUUUGUGUUGGAUUGCAUGAAUUUUGGAAAAAGUGGUAGAUAGGAGCCUGAAGUAGGGGUAUAUCAUCAUUCAAGGUGAGUUCCCAAAUUCAUCCGUACAUAUUUCGUUUUUUGCUUCUAUAGAAAUUUGUUCGUUUUCUUCUUGUUGAUUGAUACAAUUUUCUUAUUGCUAUGUGUUUCUUUGUUAUAGGUUAACUGGAGUGGACAUUUUAAGUACAUGAGCAGAUCAAGCUGAUACCAGACCAAAAUUUUCGAGAUAGUCUAGAUUUUUAAUGCUUAUUUUGCCUCUUGCCACCAUUUAAACUCACGUGUGAGCUUUCAGCCCCGUCCAUUUUGCUGUGUGGCUGAACUGAACUAGGAGACUUUAUGAUGUAAUUAUUCUUAUUAAUUAUUAUUUUAUUUUAUUUAUUUAUUUUUGCUAACAAUGGGUAUCUAGGCCUUUGGCCUGACUAGUCUUGCAGGCUCAUACUGACCCCACAACCGCAUGGAUUGGGUCAUACUAGGGUUUGAUGAAAACUAUUCAACUUUCACUGAAAGACACCUCAUGUAGGUGGUCCCAAAGAGACCCAACAAUAUUGGUAGCAAUGGUCUAGAGCCACAACUGAAAUAAUCUUCUAAACGGCUUCUCAAACACAGACAUGCUCUGCUAGAUGAACUUCUUAAGUAAAUACACUGUGGCCUGUAGGUAUUGAUUCUUGAUGGAGCUCAAAUGGUUUGCCAUGCUGGUUAGCAGAUUUGAAAAUGCAAAAAAAAUGAUGAGGUGAGGGCCAUUCUUCUACCAUGUGGUCACAUUGGGUAUUAGUGGGUUAGUCUUUGGAUGGGCUAGUUGGUAUAGAAACUGGCCUUCAUGAAGUAACCCACUGGUCUUGACAUGAUGAGGUGAGGGCCUGAGGCUGAAGGGAAGAAAUCUAAAGCAUCUACCAAAGCAAUUGUUGAUGUUUUAUACUAUUGAUUCCAUGGUAAUUCAGCUUGUAAAACUAUUUGUAAUACACAUUAAAUACACAUCUGAUAGUUACACUUCUGAGGACUUAACUUAAA